rfam:Batrachochytrium dendrobatidis JAM81 unplaced genomic scaffold BATDEscaffold_4, whole genome shotgun sequence.
GGACGGAUGGCCGAGCGGUCUAAGGCGCUACGUUCAGGUCGUAGUCUUGAAAAAGGCGUGGGUUCGAAUCCCACUCCGUUCA